rnacentral:lncRNA from 1 species
UCUGCACUAAACAAGUACUGGUCUGUUACCUAUGUGAAGUAUUGGUCUAUAACCUAUGAUCAAGUACUGGUCUGUUACCUAUGAUCAAGUACUGGUCUGUUAGCAUAAAUGAUUAUUCGUCAAGACAAUCACUCCUGCCAUAUAAACAUGUAUCUCAAGGAAAAUUUGUAAGAGAUGUGGUUAAUUACUUGAAUAAAACACACCAUAUCAAGUAUACUAACACAGAAGUGAUAUCAAUAUUUCCACCUUCAACAUCAGAUAGUAUAAAACACACCAUAACUAGUAAAAACACACCAUGGCCUACACGGUUUGCACCCUAACGCAUCCCCAUCUAUGGAAAGACAGACAUUGGGAACAUAAGCAAAGCAUGGCAAGAAGAACCCAAUUGGAAAGAACACUAAAUAAACAACCAUCAGAACAACCAUAAUGUAUCACCCCAUCUCUGCUUAUAAGAUGG